ACGGGAGGCAGCAGUGGGGAAUUUUGGACAAUGGGGGCAACCCUGAUCCAGCCAUGCCGCGUGAGUGAAGAAGGGCCUUCGGGGUUGUAAAAGCUCUUUUCGGCCGGGAAGAAAUCGUGGUCUCUAACAUAGGCCAUGGAUGACGGUACCGGACUAAGAAAGCACCGGCUAACUACGUGCCAGCAGCCGCGGUAAUACGUAGGGGUGCGAGCGUUAAUCGGAAUUACUGGGCGUAAAAGCGUGCGCAGGCGGUUUUGUAAGACAGAUGUGAAAUCCCCGGGCUUAACCUGGGAACUGCGUUUGUGACUGCAAGGCUAGAGUACGGCAGAGGGGGGUGGAAUUCCUGGUGUAGCAGUGAAAUGUCGUUAGAGAUCAGGAGGAACACCGAUGGCGAAGGCAGCCCCCUGGGCCUGUACUGACGCUCAUGCACGAAAGCGUGGGU
rnacentral:rRNA from 1 species